rnacentral:rRNA from 1 species
GACGUAGGGGGCGAGCGUUGUCCGGAUUUAUUGGGCGUAAAGCGUGCGUAGGCGGCUGCGCAAGUCGGGUGUGAAACCCCGGGGCUCAACCCCGGAACUGCAUCCGAUACUGCGUGGCUAGAGGUAGGUAGGGGAGAUCGGAAUCCCUGGUGUAGCGGUGAAAUGCGCAGAUAUCAGGAGGAACACCGGUGGCGAAGGCGGAUCUCUGGGCCUUACCUGACGCUCAGGCACGAAAGCUAGGGGAGCGAACAGG